rnacentral:lncRNA from 1 species
CAGCUCCAGCCCCUGGAAUGGCAACAGCAUUUACUCAGGAGUUAUUCACAGGACUCAGUGUACUCAGUUGAGUGUCUUCUUUAAGGAAUGGAGCAGUGUAAAGAGCAGGAAGGACGAUGAGAAGACAGGAAGAAAGUGUGCAGUUCAUCUCUCGUAAGUUUUACCGGACUUCUUCUGCUCCUGUGUGGGGAAAGCUUUCUUAUGUGCACCGUGUAUACCUACCUUACAGUUAGUUUUUCAUCCCUUCCCCCUUACCUGCCUCAUCUGCCUUCACAUCCUUUUCUCUAUAG